AGUAUGGAAGCUUUUAGCAAUAAAUUGUAAAUUUAUUUAAAUUAGUACUA
rnacentral:tRNA from 1 species